rnacentral:rRNA from 1 species
GAUGAACGCUGGCGGCGUGCCUAAUACAUGCAAGUCGAGCGAACAGACGCGGAGCUUGCUCCUCUGACGUUAGCGGCGGACGGGUGAGUAACACGUGGAUAACCUACUUAUAAGACUGGGAUAACUUCGGGAAACCGGCGCUAAUACCGGAUAAUAUAUUGAACCGUAUGGUUCAAUAGUGAAAGUCGGUUUUGCUGUCACUUAUAGCUGGAUCCGCGCCUAAUUGGCUAGUUGGUAAGGUAACGGCUUACCAAGGCAACGGUGGGUAGCCGACCUGAGAGGGGAGACGGGGACCAGGGGACUAAGAGACGCAGCAGAAGGCAAUCGUACGCAGUAGUCGAGAGCCUGACAGAACGGGGGCGAGUGAGAUGCAGAGGUCUCGGGUGCGGGAUACUCGCCUAUUAGGGGUGAACAAAUGUGGCAGGAGACGAGCACGUAGUGACGGUACCUGGUCAGAAAGCCACGGCUAACUACGUG